rnacentral:rRNA from 1 species
GACGAACGCUGGCGGCGUGCUUAACACAUGCAAGUCGAACGGAAAGGCCCUGCUUUUGUGGGGUGCUCGAGUGGCGAACGGGUGAGUAACACGUGAGUAACCUGCCCUUGACUUUGGGAUAACUUCAGGAAACUGGGGCUAAUACCGGAUAGGAGCUCCUGCUGCAUGGUGGGGGUUGAAAAUUUCGGCGGUUGGGGAUGGACUCGCGGGUUAUCAGCUUGUUGGUGGGGUAGUGGCUUACCAAGGCUUUGACGGGUAGCCGGCCUGAGAGGGUGACCGGCCACAUUGGGACUGAGAUACGGCCCAGACUCCUACGGGAGGCAGCAGUGGGGAAUAUUGCACAAUGGGCGGAAGCCUGAUGCAGCAACGCCGCGUGCGGGAUGACGGCCUUCGGGUUGUAAACCGCUUUCGCCUGUGACGAAGCGUGAGUGACGGUAAUGGGUAAAGAAGCACCGGCUAACUACGUG